rnacentral:rRNA from 1 species
UACGGAGGGUGCAAGCGUUGCUCGGAAUUAUUGGGCGUAAAGCGCACGCAGGCGGCAAGGUAAGUCAGUUGUGAAAUUCCCGAGCUUAACUUGGGGGCUGCAGCUGAUACUGCCCUGCUUGAGUACGGAAGAGGGGAGCGGAAUUCCCAGUGUAGAGGUGAAAUUCGUAGAUAUUGGGAGGAACACCGGUGGCGAAGGCGGCUCCCUGGUCCGAUACUGACGCUCAUGUGCGAAAGCGUGGGGAGCAAACAGGG